rnacentral:rRNA from 1 species
UACGUAGGGUGCGAGCGUUAAUCGGAAUACUGGGCGUAAAGCGUGCGCAGGCGGUUUGCUAAGACCGAUGUGAAAUCCCCGGGCUUAACCUGGGAACUGCAUUGGUGACUGGCAGGCUAGAGUAUGGCAGAGGGGGUAGAAUUCCACGGUGUAGCAGUGAAAUGCGUAGAGAUGAUGGAGGAAUACCGAUGGCGAAGGCAGCCCCCUGGGCCAAUACGUGAC